UUUAAACUAUUAACGAGUUGUUGGUUUUCAGUAGUGACUCCUGGGGCUUGUAGUGCUCAUUAAAGUGCCUUGGGGUCCAGAAAACGCCCAGACAGGGCUGUGAGAUAGGAGAUGGGGAUGAAGGAGACCGAGCCCAAACUCUCUGAGGCAGCCGGGUACUAAGGGUGCACCUGAGACUUUGGGCGUCUGAACGGCAGUAGGACACUGGGAGUGUUCGAAAGCCAAAGUGUGGGCUGAGGCAGCAUAUGCAAAUCAAGAUGCUUUUACGUGAGCUUAAUAUAUGACAAUACUGAUUCAUGAGUUCUUCAGCCUUCUUGAGCUGGCUGAAGACGAAGUCUUGCCACGUGUUAAGGUCCUUAAAUCUUUAUGCUCUGAAAUGCUUUUUUUUUCAUGUUUCCAUACUCUUGAAUCGCUUGGAGCAUGAUGUCGGAAUAGUAGAGGCACACCGAUGAGUGACAAACAUUAUCAAAGGUACCCACUUCCUUGGCAGAUGUAAAUUCCCAGGAAAUGGAGUGUAGAAGACAUGAAAAUGUAAUCUACCAAGAACCUGGGUUUGGAACAAGCAGUAUGUAUUAAGACUACAAACAAGCAAACAAUCUCAAAAUUUAAACAAUUUUUUUUUUCUUUUUCCUGUAACUCCAUUUGAAAUGAUAACAAGAACUUUUCUGCCAGCUCCACAGACUCUGUAUGGGAUUUUGAACAGGGUUUGUCCAUGUGCAUUUUCAGCAGCAGCUCUGGCCAGGGCCCCUUUUCCUCACCUCUGUUCCAGUUCCUCCCAUGUGAGAGAACAGCUGAAGGAGCCAUUCACUCGGUAGCUGAACAAAGGACAGACUUGGCUGUUUUUCAGCUGGUUUGUUUUUUCAUUAUUACCACUGGUAACAAUCUCAUAGGUGAAAUAGCAGUUAUAAAGUCUGUGUGUUUGGUUGAUACCCUUAAUGACAGUAUUGCUUCAUCACCAUGAGUUUAUCCAGCUUGUCUGAUUACAAUGUGCAUAAAUAAUUCAGCUGAUAAAUCAUGUAAGUGAUUAGAAUGUCUCUCUUUUUUUUUGUUGUUGCUGUUUUCUCUGCUGUGUUGGGCUUAUGGGCAUAUGCUUUGGUAAAAGGUACCAGUAACACACCACUUAAUGGGGUUGUUUUAGUUUGUGCUGACUGGAGCACAAAUGUUUCUAGGUUUCAGUUUGACAUACACUUAGAUCAGUGUUGUUCCCACAAAAAGUACUCUGUGCUGCCUCUCCCUGAAUGCUUGAUUUUGGAUCCAACAAAAACUAUAUGAACAAACACAUUUCUGCUGUCCUGUAGUGAGCUGAUACUGUUGAAAACUUGUUUUUCAGCUACAUCAGUGAUACCCCGUCUCGGUCACUGAGCAGGUGACCAAUUCUUGUGCUGGCACAUCAGAGGAGGAAUUGAGGGGACAUAACUAAUACCCUGGGGAGGAAGAAGGACCUCUUUUGUUUUCAGCCGCAGGACCAGCUUAAUUGCAUGUUGGCGUCAUAUUAAGGCUUCAUUGAAGUCAUGCAAGAAGGUACACGUGAGGUCUAGAAUUUUGUUCAAGUGGGGUACUAACUGUGAUUAAAUACCUCCAGGGAGCAGACCUGCUGUAUGUGUGCCUUUAUAUAGUCAUCCUUAAGAGGGUAUUCAAAUUUUAAUAAACUAGCUUUUACAACUCUCUUCUUCAAAUCUGAAGUAUUAAAUAACACCAUUUUAUAGAGGAAAAGCUCCAGCCACAAGUUGAGGCUAUUUCUUAAGGUCAAAUAAAAGAACAUUAGAUCUUCCAGAUGAAAAUCUUUCUUCUGCCUUAACCAAAUAACCACCAUUCUAUAAACAAUCUUAAUUGAAACAGAACUCAUAGAGAUCCUAAUGAUUAGAAAUAAUAUCAUAAACACAUUAGCUCCAAUCCUGCAAAUGCACAUUUGAGAUGUUUUCAGGGAUUAGAACAAUGCAGUAUAGAGAGGAAUUGACGUGUGUGUGUGUGUGUAUUUUAGGUUUUGCAAUUUUGUUAUAAAUAUGAUGGCCCAAAUUCAUCUUUCAGGCAAACCCUGUGAUUAAAACAGACAUUAAAUCAACUGUUAACAGUCUUAAUAAAUUCAGACAUGAUCAGCUGAAUGCUACUGGGACAGUUAAAAUAAGUCAGCCUUCUCAGUUGAUGGGGGGGGCCUUCUCUCAUGCAAGUAAGAUUUGCACCUACAGUGCAAAGAGAUUGCCUAGGGGUAUACAUAGGAUCAGUUCAGUAUCUUUGCUAAGGGCAGUGGUAAGAAGCGUCUGAUUUUUCUCUCUGUCUGUCAUUGUCAUACUCACGUGACCACACACUUAAUAUUUAGGGAGUAAAUCAUACUUUUUAAAGAGUAUCUACAUAAUUACUCCAUUAUCUUGUGGCUCUAACAGAGAUAGAAAUGUUAGUCUCAUCAAAAAAUCUCAUCGUGAUUUUUUCCCCCUGAUUCCCACAGCUCAUAUUACAUAUAAGGUUUUUCUGGCAGAGGAAUAUUUGUGAAUAUCACUGCUAAGUUUGGCAGAAUGGUUAAUGGUACUGAAUUGCAAUCUAAUUGAAUUAUAGCCCACUGUUGGAUUUAUGGUAAUACCUCUGUGCACAAAAUGACAAGCCAAGUGUUUCAAAGAUUGUAUUUCAGUAAAAUCUGGCAAUGUAUAGACAGCUGUUAACGUUUAGUCCUCUCAGAUAUUUCAAGCAAGGGAGAGCAUUGAACUUUCUGUUAUAACUUGUACUGAACAGAUCAGUUGUAGCAGGGCGGACUAGUUUAUUUUAGAAACCAUGGACAAAAAGCUAAUGGUAAGUCCAACUUUUCUGGAUGGAAAGAAUGAUUUGUUUUUUGACUGAACAGUGUUGCACCAAACAAUGGACAGUAUUUAAAAAAAAAGUUUGGGACCUCGGCACAGGGUAUUGUUCAGAUCUCCCAAAAAGGUGGUUGCAGUCUCAGUAGCAACAGGAGUCCUUCCUUGCACAAGUGUUUUCAGCUGGAUCAGGUGAGACUCUCCUAACUGCUUCUCUGCUCAGUUCUCACAACCCUGGUUGUGCUGGGUGAUCCUGUGUGACUACUUCAGUAGUGCAUUGUUGGGAGGAAUGGGUCAAAAGCAGGAGGUUGGCGAGGAGGAUGGCAUCAGAACAGAAGGCUGGGGAGGAGGAUUGUAAAUAUGCACAGGUGACCUUGCAGCUAGGAGUGCGUAAAGUCUGGGGAGCAGCAGUGUAGAAAAACAUAUAAAUUAUGCCUGCUGCUGUUUGUACUCGGGGUUUGGUGAGUGGCACAUCUGUGCAUAGACAACACGGGUGUUUGCUGGACUCGGAGGCACCCUAUGAGAAGUGCUUGAGCUCCUGGCCUUGGUACAGAGGAGAUCAAAGAAAGCUACAGCACCCCUGUCAUUGAAAACUGGGCCGACCAGCGUUCAGUCAGCUGUGAAAUAAGAUCAGCAACUCAUGAUUUCCUGUGGGUUGCCUUCUGCGUCGUGGUUUAACAAGGCCCUGGGAACGUGGCUAUAGAGCCACACGGAUCACGGUGCUUUGCUUUCUGCUGCUUAAAAUUGCUGUUGCCCUCUACAGAAAUCUAUUUCCAAGAUUCUGUGUUUUCCCCCAGAAUAAAUAGAAUUCUAUAUUAUUAUCUAAGUAUUUGUGGACUUAAUUAUAUGUUUUGCAUUUAUCACUGGUUUUGCCCUAUUAAAUUUCCUUAACCAUAGCUGGAGCAAGAGAGACACUGUAGAACUGCAGUCAGCUGGGGUAGGGUAAACAGGAGCAUCACAAAAUAGGGCAGCCCAACAAAAGCAGGGCUUUCCUGUUGCAUUUCAGCAGUGAAUGACUCCACUCGAUUUAAGCUAUUGGCUUAGCAAACUGUCAGAAAAUACCCCUUGGCUGCCAUUUCCCAGGCCUUACCUAACUUCUGAAGGAUUUAUUUUGUUAAAACUGAUAAAGAUCAGCUAACAAUUUAGUGCCAAAGUAUGGGAGAAGUACUUACCCCCACAGCUGCUCUUAUUUAGUCCAUUUUCUACACCGUGAGGGAUCCAGAUUUUCCCUUGACAUUUCACAAUCUAUAAAGUAUGACUUAACAAGCUUUAAGUUGGUUACUGGAUCUUAGUCUCAAUACAGUACAUUUACCAGCUUGUCAGGGCUUCAGCUUUGCUUUCCCCCUGCGGCACACUUGGAUUUGGUUCAGAAUGCUGUCUAUCUAUCUACAGAUAGACUGUACCUAUCUCACAUAGCUCUGUCCUGAUUACUUUCAACAUAAAGUAGUGAUACAAUUUUCUCCUGGAAUCAACUGGAGUAACUCAAGAAUCGAAUGCCAAAACAUCUUGCUGUAGCUUCGAUCUGUCUUCCCCUGUCCAUCCCCUUAAUUCAGGAGACUUAAGAAGCAUUUGUAUUUCUACCUAAUUAUUUGCCAGGAGUUUAAUGCAAUACUAGUUCCACACCACUGAAGAAAUCCUUUCUGUUCUUUCAUUUGCAGUACAAAAUUCUCAUAUUUAAAAGCAGGAACAUAGCACUCCAGCACACAUCACAGUAUUACUUAACCUGGAGUCUUGACUGGAGCAAUUGCUUGGAUCUUGCUCCUUUGGAGGAGUUGAGAUACAGAGUUGUGUUGAUUACUUUGUUACUACAGUUCACAAUACAGACUCACCUGUAUCAUUCAAAGCAGCGAGCUACUGUUUCAAAAAUAAUAGCAUUACAAGUGUUCCAGUGGACAGGCUCCCUGCUCAAGUCUCCAGGCGUGGAUAGGUGAUGUGUGGUGGUUGGACACACAUUUUCAGAAGACACAACUGCCC